ACGAACGCUGGCGGCGUGCUUCACCCAUGCCAGUCGCACGGAAAGGCCCUGCUUUUGUGGGGUGCCCGAGUGGCGAACGGGUGAGUAACACGUGAGUAACCUGCCCUUGACUUUGGGAUAACUUCAGGAAACCGGGGCUAAUACCGGAUAGGAGCUCCUGCCGCAUGGUGGGGGUUGGAAAGUUUCGGCGGUUGGGGAUGGACUCGCGGCUUAUCAGCUUGUUGGUGGGGUAGUGGCUUACCAAGGCUUUGACGGGUAGCCGGCCUGAGAGGGUGACCGGCCACAUUGGGACUGAGAUACGGCCCAGACUCCUACGGGAGGCAGCAGUGGGGAAUAUUGCACAAUGGGCGGAAGCCUGAUGCAGCAACGCCGCGUGCGGGAUGACGGCCUUCGGGUUGUAAACCGCUUUCGCCUGUGACGAAGCGUGAGUGACGGUAAUGGGUAAAGAAGCACCGGCUAACUACGUG
rnacentral:rRNA from 1 species